rnacentral:rRNA from 1 species
AACGCUGGCGGCGUGCCUAAUACAUGCAAGUCGAGCGAAUGGAUUAAGAGCUUGCUCUUAUGAAGUUAGCGGCGGACGGGUGAGUAACACGUGGGUAACCUGCCCAUAAGACUGGGAUAACUCCGGGAAACCGGGGCUAAUACCGGAUAACAUUUUGAACUGCAUGGUUCGAAAUUGAAAGGCGGCUUCGGCUGUCACUUAUGGAUGGACCCGCGUCGCAUUAGCUAGUUGGUGAGGUAACGGCUCACCAAGGCAACGAUGCGUAGCCGACCUGAGAGGGUGAUCGGCCACACUGGGACUGAGACACGGCCCAGACUCCUACGGGAGGCAGCAGUAGGGAAUCUUCCGCAAUGGACGAAAGUCUGACGGAGCAACGCCGCGUGAGUGAUGAAGGCUUUCGGGUCGUAAAACUCUGUUGUUAGGGAAGAACAAGUGCUAGUUGAAUAAGCUGGCACCUUGACGGUACCUAACCAGAAAGCCACGGCUAACUACG